CCGGCGGUGCCCGCCGGCCAGCCGUAGCUGAAGGAGGGGCGCCCGAGGGGGCGCAGCCCGCCGCAGGUGCCUGCCGGCCGCCCGGCUGGGCCGUGGGGCAGCGGUGUGCCUGAGCGCCGCUGCCUCCGGCUGCUUAGAGCCGCUCAGGGAAAGCAGUCUUCACUUCGUUAACUUAAUUCGCUUAAUGGAAAGCUGCUCUUCCUGCCCACUGGUCGCAAUACGCAGCACACGGGACACUGGGUCCGCAGAAGCGGGGGAAACGUAAAUUCUCGUUCGCUCUUUCUGCCCACCCUUGGAAAGGACGCGGGCCGGGUCGUGUGGGGGAAGCGAGGGCAACGAUGGCGGGGAGGAAGGCAGGCUGGAGGGCCGGGGGAGCCUGGCGCCUUCUCCUUCCCACUCCGCUUCUCCUUGCCACUGGAGAAGAGUGCAUGGGAAUGACCCCAGGUUAACGACUUCGCUUAAGGAAUGAAAUGACUAACGCUGUACCGCAGCUGAGAAUCUCCCGUAGCGGCUUUGUUUAAUGAACAAAAUGACUAACGCUACUUCAGCCAAGAAUUUCUCACGUAAUCCGGAUUUCAGAUUAGAAGAGCUUUAGCAGGGUAAGCUGAAAGAGACUUGGCCUGAGUGAUUCCUGAAAGGAUGUCUGAAAGCAUAUUGGAAAUCUGUGUCACAGUCUGUCUCUUUGGCUGACCUUCAGGAAGACUCCAUUAAUAUGUUCUG